UGCUUUGUGCAGAAACAGUAUAAUAGCCAAUGAGGUAUAUCUGAGGUGUGAUUAUUGCUCAUUGAAAACGUUUCCCAGCUGGGUAUAGUGGCUCAAACCUGUAAUCCCAGCACUUUGGG
rnacentral:snRNA from 1 species